rnacentral:rRNA from 1 species
UGGAGGCAGCAGUGGGGAAUAUUGCACAAUGGGGGAAACCCUGAUGCAGCAACGCCGCGUGAGUGACGAAGGCCUUCGGGUCGUAAAACUCUGUCUUAGCUGACGAUAAUGACGGUGAGCUAGGAGGAAGCCACGGCUAACUACGUGCCAGCAGCCGCGGUAAUACGGAGGUGGCGAGCGUUGUCCGGAUUUACUGGGCGUAAAGGGAGCGUAGGCGGUCUUUUAAGUGGGGUGUGAAAUCCCUGGGCUUAACCCAGGAAUUGCAUUCCAUACUGGGAGACUAGAGUGCAGGAGAGGAAAGUGGAAUUCCAAGUGUAGCGGUGAAAUGCGUAGAGAUUUGGAGGAACACCAGUGGCGAAGGCGACUUUCUGGACUGUAACUGACGCUGAGGCUCGAGAGCGUGGGGAGCAAACAGGAUUAGAAACCCUGGUAGUCCC